UCCUCCCUUUGGGAACUGCCAGCUCAGAGCCCAACUGUGAGCGAGGCACCUCCUGCAGGUCCAAAGAACGGGACUGAACCUGGAGACAUUUACUGGCAGUUGGAGGAAACGCUGACUGAGGUCCUGGGUGCCCUGAAGGAGAUACCUGAUGUUGUGGAGCUCGAGACUGUGGAGGUACCUCAGGAAGGCCAUCAGGAGGUGCCAUUCCCUGGGGAAAAGCCGAGGGCUGCUCAGCCCACAGGAGGGUCAGGUAAUCG